rnacentral:rRNA from 1 species
CCAAUAGCGUAUAUUAAAGUUGUUGCAGUUAAAAAGCUCGUAGUUGAAUUUCGGGACCAAUAUGUCGGUCUUGCCUCGGUACGUACUGGCAUCGUUGGUUUCUCCCUUCUGACGGACUAUGAUGUCAUUAAUUUGGUGUCAUGGUGAAUCAGGACUGUUACUUUGUAUAAAUUAGAGUGUUUAUAGCAGGCUCACGCUUGAAUACAUUAGCAUGGAAUAAUGAAAUAGGACGUUUGAUUCUAUUUUGUUGGUUUCUAGGAUUGACGUAAUGAUUAAUAGGGAUAGUUGGGGGCAUUAGUAUUCAAUUGUCAGAGGUGAAAUUCUUGGAUUUAUUAAAGACUAACUACUGCGAAAGCAUUUGCCAAGGAUGUUUUCAUUAAUCAAGAACGAAAGUUAGGGGAUCGAAGACGAUCAGAUACCGUCGUAGUCUUAACCAUAAACUAUGCCGACUAGGGAUCGGAUGAUGUUAAUUUUUUAAUGACUCAUUCGGCGCCUUACG